GCUGGGCACGGUGGCUCAUGCCUGUAAUCCCAGCAUUUUGGGAGGUCAAGGCGGGUGGGUCACUUGAGGUCGGGAGUUCGAGACCAGCCUGGUCAACAUGGUGAACCCCCGCCCCGU
rnacentral:SRP_RNA from 1 species